CAGCAUCUGCAGUACCUUUGACAUUGUGGGUCGCAGUGAUGCAGUCUCCUGAGUGCACAGAAGUCCUAUGUGCACCACUCUCAAUAUCUCCUCUUUUAUGCUCCCACCUCCCUCCUUCUCAUCAACCAUCAGAACUACCAUGAAACAACGAACAGAAGAAGAGCUACUUACAAUGAGUACUAUGCUUUCCAAGUAGUCCGAGGUUUUGCUCCUACUGUUCUGUAUCCCAGUGAUGGUCUCCAGCAAAACCACCCCAAAACUGUAGACAUCAGCCUUUUCUGUUAGCUGGCCAUGAGCCAAGUACUCUGGCGCCAUAUACCCCCUGUGGAUUCACGAACAGUAGAAGCAACAACAAAUGUUAAAUCACUUUUGUUUUGUGUUGUUUAAUUUGAUACUUAUUCCUUGUUAUUCAAGAGAAAUUACGUACAAGGUUCCGGCAAUGGCAGUGCUGAUGUGGCUCACAUCUUCUUCAAAGGAUCUAGCCAAUCCAAAAUCAGCAAUUUUAGCUCGAAACUUUGAGUCAAGCAAGAUGUUACUAGCCUUGAUGUCUCGGUGAAUGAUCUUGGUUUUCGAGUUCUCGUGCAGGUAAGCCAAACCUUCAACUGUUCCCACGAUAAUAUCAAAUCUCUUCUCCCAAUUGAGUGAUCUGCCUCUGUCUCGAUCUGUAUGGUUUUGAAACUAAUCAGAAGAGGUGUUUAUAAACAAUGGUUCAAGUGGAUGUUUAAUGAAAUGAACAUGUCAGCGUUUACCAAAAAUGAAGCGGUCGAGGCUCUUGUUGGGAAGGAAUUCAUAGACGAGUAGACUUUCAGAAGUCUGCUGCUCUAUGUUUGUUAUUGAAGAAAAGCCUCUUCACAGCUAUCUCUCUUCCGUCCGACAGAACUCCCUGCAUCAACAUAGACAGAAGAGGAAGGAAGGGAUGAUGAAAUCUCAGUGUUUGAGCUUAUUAAGCUAAUUGCAUGUUUGAAGAUGUAGAUUCCAAUCAACACACCAGCGACCAAAACAGCAAUCGAGCUUACCACUGAGAUUACAAUUGCUAUAAUGUUACCUGCAGAGAUCGUCCAUAGUAAAUUCAACUCGAGCUUCCCUAUUUAGGAAGUCAACGCUAGAGUAUCUGAUGAAGCAGCCAGUGUUGAGGGCCCUUGCUUCGGACUGAGGCAAGCAUUUGAGGAUAGAAGCAGAGGCGUUUUGCAAACAGGAAGUGCAG